GAGGAGCAUGUGGAGGACGAGAGGAGGUGGUUGAGGAGGACCUCCUCCUCCUCCCCUUCCUCCUCAUCCUCCUCCCCUUCUCAUGGGGAGCUCUCCUGACUUGCACGAGCUCAUACUCACCCUCGCCGUCGGCCGGUCUGCACGUGGUUCAUGAAACACAAGACUUGUAUUGUAGUGCUUUAUCGAAUCAAGUGCCUAUUGGUGACAAUGCAAAUGCUUUCGUUUGGUAUCGGUUUAAGUAGGAAUUAAGUUCAAGUACGCAAUAAGAUCGCUUGCGCUGGCUUUGUUUCUCUGGCAUAUCUGCUACGUGUGAAAAACCAGGAGGCACUGAACAAGACCCGCACUUUCAGAAAUACUCCGAAUGCCUUUGAACCGAGUACAAAAAGAGUAGCUAUCGGCUUCGACGGCUGAUCUCUAAAUAAAGCGACUUCCAAUCACUACUGCUAAUAAUAUUAAUAAUAGUAAUACUAAUCUCAUAUUCAGGACGCGUUCAGGAGGCUUUGAAUAAAAAAGAAGCAAAAUUAGGCCUUCAAGUUGUCCCCCGUGAUUUCAAAAAGAACUUGACCCCCGGCCCCCAAGUGGACAAGAGCACCGGCGAGUGGAUUCAACUUGACGACAGAAUCUUAUAACACACAGACAACGAACGCAACCACGUCAAAGAAGAGCCAGUGGUUACCAAACCUUUCCCGAGAAAGAAAGAAAAGCCAUUCAAAACCUCCACUCGACGUCAAGUGUCACAACCGAAAGUAAAAAAAAAAAAAAAAAAAAAAAAAAAAAAAAAAUAAACGGUAUAGGACGCGUUCAUAACGUCCCACCACGAAACGGAUAACGGAUAUCACAAAGAGCGGUCUCAUGCAAGCGAACGUAAAACUAAGAGAGCGCAGCUGUCUUAAUUGGCCAGGGUGUCAUAUUUACAUUUCCGACCACACUGGAUAUCAUGUAGUCGCUACGAUGAAUCGGUUGAACAUCUAAAAAAAGCCGAGCUCCCCUCGAAGACUAAUGGAACAUCUGCCUCUCAUUCAGAAUUGCAAAUAAAAUUUACUACAAGUCUAGAAACUAAUUUACCAAGAACAUUUUUCAAUAAGACUGUCCACAUGGAUCUACUUCAUAGAACGAGUGACAUGAAGGAAAACGCUGAAUUACUGUAAUCUAGCAAGCAAUAAUAAAAAGCACAAAAAUACAAACAGCUACAAAAUAAGAGCUACAGGAUAUUACAUAACCAGCAAAUAAAAGUCAAACGAUGCGCUGAACAGAAAAGUUAUUAAAACUUUACAUAUGAAUUCAGUUGAAAUAAAUAUCGGGAAUUCGAGAGAGAAAUCUAUUCAGGCAUCCAUAGAAUUACUUUGUUUGAAAACUAAAAAUUUGAAAUCAAAACCGAAAACUGAUAUAAAAAGUGAAAACUAACACAGGCACUGGUUUUAGGAACAUAUCUAUCGUAAAACAAAUAAAAAAGUGAGUGUAUAAUAAUUUACGAAAAAGGAAAAUACUUAUAAUAAGCAAGAGUAAAUAUAAAGAAAAGUUGAUGCAGAAAUACGAAAGAGGAAUACUGCAUACGUAAUAGGAAAAAUAUAUAUGACGAAAAGUGAAAUCAAAUAAGUGCAGAUAAAUAAAACGCUUAGGACAUUUAAACGAAUAAAAGCAUAAAAAUAUUCAUUCAGAAAGCAAGCAAAAUACCCAGACAAGAUGGCAGGUGUUUUGGGUACCUUCAUGAGGCACUCCAGGGCCAGGUCGGAGCUUCAGAGAAAGAGGGAGGCACUGAAGGCUGAAAGAGAGGCUCGAAGUAAGAGCGGCUCGGCUGAUGUGGUGGCCAAGAGCCAGUCG